CGACCCCAGGUCAGGCGAGACUACCCGCUGAGUUUAAGCAUAUAAAUAGGCGGAGGAGAAGAAGCUUACAAGGAUUCCCCUAGUAACGGCGAGAGAACCGGGAGUAGCCCAGCUUGAGAAUCGGGCGGCUGUGUCGUCCGAAUUAUAGUCUGGAGAGGCGUCCUCAGCGACGGACCGGGCCCAAGUCCCCUGGAAAGGGGCGCCUGGGAGGGUGAGAGCCCCGUCCGGCCUGGACCCUGUCGCCCCACGAGGCGCCAUCAACGAGUCGGGUUGUUUGGGAAUGCAGCCCAAAUCGGGCGGUAGACUCCGUCCAAGGCUAAAUACAGGCGAGAGACCGAUAGCGAACAAGUACCGCGAGGGAAAGAUGAAAAGGACUUUGAAAAGAGAGUCAAAGAGUGCUUGAAAUUGCCGGGAGGGAAGCGGAUGGGGG
rnacentral:ncRNA from 1 species